rnacentral:rRNA from 1 species
GUGUCAGCCGCCGCGGUAAUACGGAGGGGGCUAGCGUUGUUCGGAAUUACUGGGCGUAAAGGGCGCGUAGGCGGCGAUUCAAGUUAGGCGUGAAAGGCCUGGGCUCAACCCGGGAACUGCGCUUGAUACUGGAUUGCUUGAGUCCGGGAGAGGAUGGCGGAAUUCCCAGUGUAGAGGUGAAAUUCGUAGAUAUUGGGAAGAACACCGGUGGCGAAGGCGGCCAUCUGGACCGGUACUGACGCUGAGGCGCGAAAGCGUGGGGAGCAAACAGGAUUAGAUACCCUGGUAGUCCACGCCGUAAACGAUGCGUGCUAGACGUCGGGGGGUUUACCCUUCGGUGUCGCAGCUAACGCCUUAAGCACGCCGCCUGGGGAGUACGGCCGCAAGGUUAAA